rnacentral:rRNA from 1 species
GAUGAACGCUAGCGGCAGGCCUAAUACAUGCAAGUCGGACGGGAUCCAGAUCAAAGCUUGCUUUGGUUUGGUGGGAGUGGCGCACGGGUGCGUAACGCGUGAGCAACCUACCCUUGUCAGGGGGAUAGCCCGGCGAAAGUCGGAUUAAUACCGCAUGACAUCAUUGAGAGGCAUCUUUCGAUGAUCAAAGAUUUAUCGGACAAGGAUGGGCUCGCGUGACAUUAGCUAGUUGGUAAGGUAACGGCUUACCAAGGCUACGAUGUCUAGGGGCUCUGAGAGGAGAAUCCCCCACACUGGUACUGAGACACGGACCAGACUCCUACGGGAGGCAGCAGUAAGGAAUAUUGGUCAAUGGACGGAAGUCUGAACCAGCCAUGCCGCGUGCAGGAAGACGGCCCUAUGGGUUGUAAACUGCUUUUAUACGGGAACAAACGUCGGUACGUGUACCGGUCUGAGUGUACCGUAAGAAUAAGGAUCGGCUAACUCCGUG